rnacentral:rRNA from 1 species
AUUGAACGCUGGCGGCAGGCCUAACACAUGCAAGUCGAACGAGUGGCGGACGGGUAGUAAUUUUCUGGAAACCGGCCCGUGGAGGGGGGUAACCACCUGAACCGGUAGCUAAUCCCGCAUACCAUCGGUGUUGCCCGGAUGGGAUUAGCUAGGGGGUGGGGUAACGGCUCACCUAGGCGACGAUCCCUAGCUGGUCUGAGAGGAUGACCAGCCACACUGGAACUGAGACACGGUCCAGACUCCUACGGGAGGCAGCAGUGGGGAAUAUUGCACAAUGGGCGCAAGCCUGAUGCAGCAAUGCCGCGUGUAUGAAGAAGGCCUUCGGGUUGUAAAGUACUUUCAGCGAGGAGGCGUUACUCGCAGAAGAAGCACCGGCUAACUCCGUGCCAGCAGCCGCGGUAAUAC